CGCGCACAGAGGUCUGGUGGCGGGCAGAAGGAAGGAACUCACGCCUCUAGUAAAAUAGUAUCUCACUCUCUCUCUCUCACCGCAGGUGGAUGGCACACCACGUGGCCCUCUUGCGCUAUCGAGUGUAAUUAUAACACAUUGGCUUUGGGCUUUAAAAUUACAAGCCUGCCCACGGAUUGUUUCAUCUUCUUCUUAAAAUAAUUUACCCCUUCAAAUCCGUGAGUAGGCCUUUAGUUAAGACAGAAUGCAGGUGUUACGGAGGCGCUUGUUGAACGGGAGGCACAAGGCGAAUAGAAGGCACUAGGACCGGGGAGAGUUCCCUCUCAGGAGCGCAGGCUAUGAGCAUCGCAUCCACAUAGCGGGGCUGUGGAGGAAACCCCCCCAUCGGAUCUGGCAAUACAGGAUACUUGCGAUUAUAUCCAUACAUUUAUUUUCCAGUCUGUGGCGUGGUGCGGUUUAGCGGAGUGCACAGUCCUGCGUUUGGGAUGGUUGGGCACACUCCAGAGAAUUCCUGAUCGAACCUCUUGGCAAAAGCGAGCAGGCAGAUUUAGGGGGGAGUUCAGUAGGCUACGCUCUUCCAUUGCCCCCCGUUCGUUUUGUAAAUGCCAUAUUUGUUGCCUUUUAUUUUGUAGUUGGUCAUAAUAAUUUCUUUUUUUUUUUUUUUUACAAUAGAAACCCCCUUUUCUUCGAUCUCUCAGUCUCUCACCUAAAUGCACGUCUGUUUAUUGAGUGAGCUUGGCACUUCUUCAUCCGUCUGAGAACAGAAACAAGAUCCACAUCUUUCUCUUUGGAUUAAACUUCCGUUUAAACCGCCGCGGCUAUCGUCCGAAUGGGUGAUCUGCUUGAAAUACAGUUCUUCAGUGGCACCCUGACACUCCAUGGAAACAUGUUCUCUCUGGCUGAUCCCCGUCGCUGUGAUGUCCAAAGCUUUCCCCACUGACUGACGGACGCUCGUGGAUCAUUUUGUAAAGCGAUUUGAAGGCUGUUAGGUCAAGGGGAAAAUGAGGCCUCCUAGCCCUCUCCUGAUCCUGCUGUAUGUCACCCUGUCCCGUGCCAUGAAGACAGUCUCCAAGAGAGGCUCAGGGCUUACAACCAUGCUGACAACCAUCCGUGGAGAUCAGUGGAUAAAGGGCUGUACAACGGGCCGCACCGAAAAAAACGCAUGGUUGCCAAGAAAGCGAUUAGCCACUGUAAUCGAUGGGGGCUCAGGGCCGUACCAUUCUGCUCAUCUGAUGAAGUUGCUCAUGGGUGAGAUUCACACUUUGAAGACUGAGAUUGAGUCAUUGAAGGCAGACCAUCAGAAAGAGAAACAUUAUCUGAGGGCAGAGAUACAGGCGACAGCUGAUGCAUUGGUCCAGAGCCAGGUAGUAUUGUCAGAGAGUCACUCCUCAUUAGCGGAGAGUCAGGCGGAGAUGUGUAACCGAAGAGAGAUACCACGAGUAGGCAGAGAAUUCAAACUGGGAUGGAUCCCGAGGCAAAUGUAGCUUACCAGUGAACCUCCGGGUGUUCAUCAUUAAUACUGUGUCUCAGAAGUUUCCGUACAUGACUGAUGCAACCCGAAAAAGCAUUAAAGACAGAGUUAAUGAGUACCUGAGGUCACCGAGAAAGUCUGGACAUGACCUACACUCCCUUAUGUAAGGAAUUAGGCUCUUUCCCAUUACUACAGAAUGUACUGUAUGCUAU
ensembl:lncRNA